rnacentral:rRNA from 1 species
UACGUAGGCAGCGAGCGUUGUUCGGAGUUACUGGGCGUAAAGCGUGCGUAGACGGUUAUUUAAGUCGGGUGUGAAAGCCCCGGGCUCAACCUGGGAAUUGCAUUCGAGACUGAAUAGCUAGGGUACGGUAGAGGGAAGUGGAAUUUCCGGUGUAGCGGUGAAAUGCGUAGAUAUUCGGAAGAACACCAGUGGCGAAGGCGGCUCACUGGACUGGUAUUGACGCUGAGGUGCGAAAGCGUGGGGAGCAAACAGG